rnacentral:lncRNA from 1 species
GUUGGGGUCACCCCAUUCCUUCCCCCCCCCCCUCCCCUAAAUCCCCCACCCCCGGUUCCUCUCCUGGGGUGAGCCACCUCCCCGCGCCGCCAGCCUUCGCUUCCUGCUCCUCCUCCUCCUCCUCCUCCCUGUCCCCAACCUGCGAGCCCUGGCGGGGCCCCAGCACCCAUCCCACAGCCGCGCGUCCCCAACCCCAUUUGUCCCAGUCCCAUUUCCCCCCCUCCCCAGGGCAGGAUCCAGCCCCUGACCCCCCCUUGUUCGAGCACGAGGGGGCCGUGCCCGUGCCUCAGUUUCCCCAGCGGUGAUGCCCCGGUUGGAUUUUUAGGGCACAACCCUUCACCGGGGGGGGGGGGGGGGUGACACAGCUCUCCUGGGGACAUUUAGGGACGAGUGCCAAGCUGCUGGAGCCCCGGCAGGAGGUGGGGACCUGUUCCGAGCCGUGCCGAGCCAAGAACACCCCGGUCCCUAUGGGGUCAGGGCAGGGCCUGGCACCCCGUGGCGGUGCCGUGGGGAGCGCAGCCACCCCAGGGGACCUGCGGUGGCACCGAGCCGAGGCUGCUGCCUGUUUGUGGGGAGGAAACGGCCCCAAAACCGGCUGUGCCGUGCCCCAGCCCUACAGCUCCGGCACGGGGCAGAGCCUACACGGCGCCACGGACGCCUCCCGCAGCGGGGACGGGUCCUACCCCCACAAACACCAGCCCAGCACCGCACACCUCGGGAAUGACAGCGCCACGCUCCGGGGACAACUCAACCGGAGGUGUCACCGUGAGGACACCCAACGAGUCCUCCUCCAGCUCCUCCACGUCCACCAGCGUGGGGACAACCCUGGUGGGGACGUCGGCCACGUCCCCUCCACUCAGCCAGGGGAACGUGACAGCGCCCACCCCGCCACCCAGCCUGGAUCCCUCCACACCUGGAUCCCCAAAAUCAGCAGCACCCACAGAUCCAGCCAAGACACCAGGCUCCCCGGCAGUGACCCCAGCUCCGACCACGGAGGUGCUACCAAACACGGCCAUGGAGGCCGAGGCGAACACGUCCCCAUCCGGCUCCACAGCACCAAAUUCAUCCUUGUCGGGGCACCCCGACCUCGUUCCUACUCCCACCUCUCCUGUUGAGCCCACCGAGAGCCCUGCUCCCAUCACAGCACCAGCCCCCAGCCCCAGCAACGCCUCGGCCACUGGUCCCA